UAUGUUGUAGACUAAUCGGCAAGUCCUAGGUUUUUGAUACUUACUAUUGAGUGUUCGAAUCACUCCAACAUAA
rnacentral:tRNA from 2 species